UUGUUUUUGCUCCACCACCAUGAAGCAAGUUGUGCUGAUCAUAGUUCUUGUUGCCCUUGUUGGCCUGUUUACCUUUGCCGUUGAAGGCGCCGAGGAUGAGCAAUCGAUGAAUGAUUUGAUGCUUUCAUUGACAAGAGGCCGUCGCCAAAGCUUCGGGGGAACUAUGAAGUACGAUAUGGACCUUGAGAAGAUGGUGAACAUGCUGCAAAGUUUGAUGAAGAGUGGUGGCGGAGGAGGUUCAAAGUAGAUACAAUAAAAUUGGAUGAUUGAAUAAUAAUUUCUUUUCGGUUUGGUUGGCUAAAAAGUUAUUUUGUGCAAAUAAAAACGCCAGGUAGGAGGAGUUGU
rnacentral:lncRNA from 1 species